GAGUUGCUCAUCCAGGAUCCAGAUGCCAGACUGUGGGUGGCGGAGGGCUCACACCUCUUUAAACCUUUCAUUUCGAGAACUGAGCUUCGAGUCAUCUGGACAGGCAUUAUCUAUGCCAGACCGAAGUUUCGGACAGAAAGGAUCCUCAUUAAAGGAGAUUCUGCCACCAUUAUUAGCUAGAUUCGAGAUGACAUGGAGCAGUUGGAGGCCCAUCCACCCCUUCGUGAC
rnacentral:lncRNA from 1 species